AUUCAUUCAAGAUGGCAUCCGAUGAGCGAAAUACCAAAUUAUCUUAUGUUUCAUGCUAAUUACGUUUUUCCUAAAAAAACAGUCUAGGUGCUGUGCUUUUAAAACAUGAGAUACGCUCAACUUGUGAUAGGACCUGCAGGAAGCGGAAAAUCCACGUAUUGCAACACCAUAGUUCGACAUUGUGAGAACAUUGGAAGGGUUGUUCACGUGAUUAAUUUAGAUCCCGCAGCGGAAUAUUUCGACUAUCCACUUUACGUAGAUACUAGGGAACUUGUCCAACUUGAAGAUGUCAUGGAGGCAGAUGACCUAAAGCUUGGACCCAAUGGUGGAUUAGUGUUUUGUAUGGAAUAUUUGAUCAAGAACAUUGAAUGGUUAGAGGAACAGUUAGGUUACACUGAAGAGGAUUAUUUCAUCUUUGAUUGCCCAGGUCAAAUAGAGCUUUACUCUCAUAUACCGAUAAUGAGACAGUUUGUUGACACUUUACAACAAUGGGAUAUCAGGGUGUGUGCCGUGUUUCUUGUGGAUUCAAAGUUUAUGGUCAACACAAGCAUGUUUUUUUCUGGUGUACUGGCAGCACUUUCCGCUAUGGUGCAGUUGGAGGUACCUCAUAUUAAUGUUAUGUCGAAGAUGGACCUGCUUAGCAAGGACCAAGCAGAAAAUAUUGAAAGAUUUCUUGACCCAAAUCCAAAAGUCAUAAUGGAUGAAAGUGGAGCAUGGCAGAACAAAAAGCAUGAAAAACUAAACAAUGCCCUUGCUGAUGUCAUUGAAAACUUCAGUAUGGUUCAGUUUAUACCAUUGAAUAGGACAGAGGAAGAGUCAAUUGAACAUUUGCUUGUACAAAUUGAUAAUGCCAUACAAUAUGGAGAAGAUUUGGAAGUUAAAGAAAAAGAUGCAUUUGAUUACGAAGACAAAGAAUUUUCGUGGAAUAAUGAUGAAAAUUGAUUUUCAGUGAUUUUGCACCUUUGGAAUAGUCACAUAACAGUGAGGGGGUGUUGGUUUUUUAAACCUCCUCCCUCAUCUUCCCCACUUUCAAUAUUGUGUGGUAAAAGACCGGCAUUAUCAUGAAGGAACAGUUGGAUCACUACAGGAAUGCAUGAAAAAAAAUCUAAAUCUAGUACCUUUAACAUAUCAUGGGACCUUUCACGUUUCAUGCCAAGAACUGUCUUAAUAACACUUACUUUACAAGUUUAAAAUUUCUUUGUCAAAUUCGAUAAAAUACAUCACAUUCUACAUCAAUAUGAACUUCAGUCAAGUAUAUUCUAUGAAGAUUGUCUGAUACCAUUGCUUCCUGAGAGGAAUAAAAUGAAUGAAGUGAUGCUA